rnacentral:rRNA from 1 species
GUCUAUGGCUAUGCUAUCCUGAACAAGCCUGAUCCUGAUCCCGUCUGAUCUCAGAAGCUAAGCAGGGUCAGGCCUGGUUAGUACUUGGAUGGGAGACCAACUAGGAAGACCAGGUGCUGUAGGCA